rnacentral:tRNA from 1 species
UUGUUUCUAGUUUAUUUAGAAUACUGGCUUGUCGUGUCAGAGGUGUGGGGUUAUUACGAAGCAAG